rnacentral:rRNA from 1 species
UACGUAGGGUGCAAGCGUUGUCCGGAAUUAUUGGGCGUAAAGAGCUCGUAGGCGGCUUGUCGCGUCGGAUGUGAAAGCCCGGGGCUUAACUCCGGGUCUGCAUUCGAUACGGGCAGGCUAGAGUGUGGUAGGGGAGAUCGGAAUUCCUGGUGUAGCGGUGAAAAUGCGCAGAUAUCAGGAGGAACACCGGUGGCGAAGGCGGAUCUCUGGGCCAUUACUGACGCUGAGGAGCGAAAGCGUGGGGAGCGAACAGG